rnacentral:lncRNA from 1 species
GAAGACUCUACAACAUGGCGUGUAACUCUCUAUAUAUAUAUCUCUUCAUUCAAUGUACCACCUUCAUGCCUCCACCGAUUUCAUGAUAUUAAAUGCCACUACUAGCUUAGCUAUCACACCUGAGAUUUUGGAGGAAACCGAAUUCCACUUCACCAUGCUUCGGUUUACAUAACUUUUAAUUGACAAUACAAGGAAAAGAGGAAAAUGGUUUUCUCAGUUGGUUGUCCAGAACCCACCCUGCUCGCAUUUAGCGAUGCAUUGCCACGAUAGACCGACUUUUAUGGCUUUGAAAUACAGAGGUCAAUACAGCCAUGGAAGGCUUGUUGAGCCUAGUGUUCACCAUGGGACCGUAUCACAUUCCCUACUUCAAUUGGAGCCCAACAGAAUUUCAAAAUAAAUGUAAAGAACUCCGAUGCAUCAGCAUCGUGAUGGAGCUAUGUUUUGAACCUGUUCAGUAGAGAGUUUUAAUGUACUUCUUUUAAUUCGGUAGAAAGUUUACAUUUUGGAUCAAACGGCUUAUAUUUACUUCAUACUUUAGCACUGUGUAAGUUGGAUGAUCAGGGUUGUCCAAUGAACAUGUACUCCUCAAUCACCCACUGGUGUACUCACCUCUAGUAGAAGAAACAGUGGACUGAAAGAAAAAAAAUAUGCAAAUAAUAUAUUAAAAAACAUUAUCUCCGGCGAAUAAAAUCUCCAAUCGUCGCUUGUUUCUUGGUGGAUGCGAUAUUUGUUAGUCUUUGGUGCGAUAUUUCUUUGGUAUUCGGCGCGGACAUUCGGCACCCCUUCAUCGAUGGAUAGAAGUAGCGACUAACGACAGAUGUUUCCAAGAUGAAGGCUUCAGACAUACUGAUGUAUUACUUUAUAAGGUCUUUGUGAAUAAUUAAUAAAGCGACCGCAUGCAUCUAAGCAGAUGCAGAGGCCGGAGGUCAUCCUUCUUUUCUAAAAAAAUGUACCAUGUCCCCGACGUAAGUAAGAAAAAUUAAAGUUAAAAAUACUAGCCCUCGACCCAAAAAGUUUCAUACAUGAGUCUUCGUGAUUUAUUGUUGAACAAUCAUUGUGCAAAAUAUAUCCAUGUAUGAUUUGUAUAAAAGCGCAUGUUUCUGUAAAAUUUUCCCAAAAUAAUAUUAGAAAUUCUAUCAUAAGUACUUACAUCAUCUCUAACCGAACUCUCAAAAAGGACUAACUCCUUAAAAUAUUCUGUUUUGAGCAGUUUAGAAAUACCUAACAGAACUCUUAAUCAUUUAACUCGUCAAAAAAAUUAGGAGUUAGUUCAAAUAAUCUCCAACGCCCUCUCAAUUUGAGCACCCACCAACAAUUCUGAGAUGAAGAUUCCCUCUCCUCCGUUUAUUGCUCCUCCCCUUCUAGCUAGCCUCCACCACCAAAUGCCAUCGCGCGCGGCAACCACACGAGGCCCUGAUUCCAAUGAGAAUGGAACCACCGACCACCUUUGCAAGGUUGCUAUCCCGCCGGUGCCAAGGAAGCGUGUCAUUGCCCAUGUCAAGGAAGCGGCUUGGGACUAAGACUGAUGUGUGAUCCACCAUGCUGUCCAUGAAGGCUGGCGGCAAGUUCGUGUUAUCCACAAAGAUGAUCGUCCGCUUUCUGGUUGUUUCGAUCAAUGACAAGCGGAUGAGGAAGCCAACACCAACAAGGUUCUCGACGAGGCAUUAGUGAAGAUGGUGAAGAAGCCACCCAUGCUAACGCCUUCUCCACAACGUGGGACUUCCACGUCUUCCCCUCCAUCUCCGGCUAGCCUCUUUCCUCCUUCACUGCCUUACUUGCACCAGAAUCAGGGCCAGUCUUGGGGCUUUGGGUGCUCAGGGCGAAACUAAAAUCGAAGAUCCUUAAUAUACUUAGGAGAUAUGCCCAAAAAAAAACCGUUCAAGUCCAUUCAAAAGCAAAUAAUAAAUAAUGUAUACACAUAUGAGCUUAAAAAAAUCGACCAUUUUAAGAUGCAUCGUUAUAAAUCCCAUCCAAUAAUUUCUUUUCAAUGCAUAAAAUUGCAGAGUCAGUACUUGUAAGAUGAGAUAACAGUGCCAAAAUUUAUGGUAACGGAAAGUAAUUUAAACUAGUGAAAAUCACUGGAACAUAUGAAUUCUAUAAAUCACUAAUGAAUUACAUAUGUACGAAGCCCAAAAGAACUCACAAAAUUCUUCUCUGCUGUAUUCGUGACAUGGGCUCAUGGAGAGUGAUUGUCGAUUGCCACCGGGCAUCUCUGCGGCAUGUUGGCUCAUGUUCGCCUGUUCCUGGCGGCCGAUGCGAUGUAGGCGCUGCGAAGAGUCGAUGGUUACGCGGGCGGGGUGCCACAAGGCAAUCAAGCAAUAUUAGGCAAAACAAAGGUCACCAAACCGUCGCGCGCCGUAUGCCAGCACCUGCGAUUCAUCCGUCUCAACAUUGCGCUUUUGUGAUUGGUGUGUGCCGGUCUCGAUUCCUAGAAUCAUGGUCCGGGGAAAGCAGCGAUUUUGGAUCCCUUUGGACCGAGGGCGAGGCGGGUUCCCUAGGGUUCCCCCUCCUCCCGGCGGCGGCGGCCGCCGCCGGCCGGCCCCGCCCCCCUCUCCCUCUCCGAGUGGCGAAGGCAGGAAUAAUUUUUUGAUGUGGCGAAGCUUAUCAAGAAGAAAUACAUGUAUACUGCAGCUGUCUAAAAAUUCAUUGAAAAAUAAGUCUAAAAUUAAAGUACUAUUGGUUUCGCGUGCAUGUUCUCGUGUUUUUGUUCCGUGGAGUUUACAUCAGCCCCACAAGGUAGUCAGCCUUUUUUCUCAGAAUUAGCAGCUAGUCAGCUACGUACUAGUACCAUUACCAUGCUCAACAGGUAGAUAUAUUAGCUUCAGAUUUUAGGUGUGGCAGAUGUCAUGCCUUGCCAGAUAGCUAGAUCCGCCACUGCCCUCUCCCCCUGCUCCCCUCCCACUCCGCCGCCCCAGGGGCCCCGAAUCCGCGCCCCCUCUCCCCUCCUCCCCUCUCGCGACAUGGGCCGCGCCCCCAACCUCCUGCCCGCUCACCCCUCCCUUCCCUCCCUCCUCCUGCCGUCGCCGGUGCGCCGCGCCGGCCCUUGGUCGGGCGGCCCCGGUGGCGGCGGGACUCCGGCCUUUCCCCUCUUGGCUCGGGUGGCGCGGGGCAGCCCGAGGCCUGGUGGUGCGUCUCAGCGGCCCGGCGUGGCGGCGGGGCUCCUCCUGGUGCGGCGUGGAUGGUCUCGGUGGCGGUGGUGUUGUCGUUGGUGGCUGGGUAGCGGUGGCAGCGAUCCGGCCCUUCAGGCCCAGAUCUAGACCCCCGGGCCCGAUCUGGGUCUGGUCGGGUCUGCCUCGUCGCCUCUAGUUGGUUUGGGGUGCGACUCGCGACGGGGAUGACAGCGUUGACAUCGCACCGCUGCAGCGUGAUGAUGGGAGCUUCACGAGCUUGCCCAUGCCCGACUGAGCUUUUGGGCUGCAUGAGGGUAGCGGCGGUGGCGGCCUACGUGCAGCAGCACGGCAGCGGGGACUUUACGAGCCCCGGGACUUGGCCGGCGCUCGGCCGGGCCUUCUUGGCCUGGUGUGUCCUGGCUGCUGUGUCCGGUCGGCACCCGCCGAUGGUGGUGGAGGACGCCCUCCGGGGUGGCUGCGCUGCUGCUACCCUUCGGUUCCAAUGGUUCGGUGUGCUCUCGUCGUCGUGUCCGGACGGCGACCGUCUUGGACGGUGGAGGUAGUCCCCUCCCGUGUGGUUGUCCCCCUGUCAGAACGUGUCUUCGGGUGGUUCGCCUUAGACUGACCGGCCUUGCUACGUUGACCAUGGUGAGUCGACGGUGAUAAUUGCAAGACCGAGGUGGCGUUUGUUGGUGGAUAACAUGCUUAGUGGUGCGUCUCUGAUUGUCCGGGGGGUGGUGGGCUUGGGGUCGGGAGAAAUCCUUGUCUUUUGACACCGACAUGGUGACGCUUGAGAGUGUCACCCUUCCUUCCUAAAGGUUGUCGGGUGUACCUCCUCCCCACGCCUCGGAGCGUAUCGAGGGAAACCCUAGGACCUGUCCGGACAGCAGUGUCGUCGUCGUCAUUAUCCUUCGUGAAGGUGUUGUUUGGUACGCGAUGGAUCAAGAUGCUUGGAUCGUGGUGGGAAUAUUCCGGAGGAGACGCAGCGAUUGCGGGUCAUUAUUGUUUUCGUUAAGCCGUCGGUGUUGGCAUUAUUUUCUCUUUCUUUUCUUUUUGGACGUGGAUGUGUUGUUUUGGCCCAGCAAUGGUUCCAUGUUGUAUCAUGUGGUUGCUAUAUAUAUAGCGGGACGAAAGCCUAUUUCAAGAGAAUGAUGGUCCGGUGGUCAACGUAUAUAUCUACUAUACGCUAGCUCUUGAACGGAAGGCGCACACCACUUGAUAAGUUAUAUCAAAAAUCAAUGAACAAUACAACAGAAGAAGCACGUCCUUUUUUUAUAUAGAAUCUCCCCUAAUAAUAAAGUACGCAACGUUUCUGGCAUCUGUCGUCGGUCAUUUUGCAUAAAAGCCCUUGCAGUUUCAGGUAAUUAACCCGCAGUCCAAUUUUAAGUCAGAACGAACCGUUUUUGUCAUUUUGCAGAAAAGUCCUCACAAUUUUAGAUAAUCAACCCGCGGUCCAUCUUUUAGUUACAACCGAACCUUUUUUUUGUAUUUUUCAGAAAAAUCCCUAAUAUUUCAGAUAAUCAACCUGCCGUCCCUAUUUAAGUCAGCCAAACCGUUUUUUUAUUUUAACGAAAAAAACCCGGACUUUUUAGUUAAUCAAUCCAUAUUUUAUCUAAAACAAAAUUAUCCAUAUCUUUUAAACCGUAACUCCAAUUUCAACAUGUUAUAUAUGAAAUUUGAUUGAAAAAUGUGUAGAAUCUAAAUAGGAUGUUAUUUUUAGCUGUUGAAUACUUCUUAAAUAUUAUUUUUGGUGCAAACUUAAUCUGUAGUGCACGGUCCUUUUUUUCCUCUCUUUUCGGCGACCAUACGAAUUGCAAUAAAUAUCCAUUAAAUUAAAAUCAAAUUGACAGGAAAGAAAACAUCGUUAAUCACACAUGCACACUUUUGGAAAAUCUCGUGGGAAGAAACAACAUAUUUCUCAUCUUAUUCCGAGUGAUUGUACAUUUAAACACGUUUUCGUUGUGUGAGAACUGAGGCCAUCGUCGACAACACAAAUGUGAUGCCAUGUGAAAAUAUAUUGUGUUCAAAGCGUGUGUUAUUUUCUCUUCCGUUGCAACGCACGAUUUUUUUUGCUAGUAUAGAACAAAACGUGUCUGACAUAAUGCCCGAAAGGUAGAAAAAAAUCCUUUUAUAGAAAUAACAUUACAUGCAUAUUUAUUUUUCAGGUGAUUUCGGAUGGUGAUUAAUUUCAUCACCAAAUUACAAUCAUAUAUAUCACCCAAAAAAACGUUACAUGCAUAUUAUGAAGUGCAACCAUUCAAAGAAGUACUUCCUCCGUUCCUAAAUAUAAGUCUUUAAAUAGAUUUCAUUAGUGGGCUAUAUACGGAUGUAUAUAGACAUACUUUAGAGUAUAGAUUCACUCAUUUUGUUCCGUAUGUAGACUUCUAGUGAAAUAUCUUAAAAGACUUAUAUUUAAGAACGGAGGAAGUAAAAAACUUGGAAAAAUGAAGACUGUAUUACAUCAGAACCAUGCCACCACAUUGUUGAUGGUUUAGAGAUGGUAUGCGUUCUAUGCUACGAAGGGUGAACAUUUAACGUUGACCGCAAGACAACACAGUCUAACCACCAAAACUCGUCACAUGAAAAUGAUGAAUAAAAAGGCAACUCAAUGGUAUCACAAGCUUUUCAUGGACUCACACAUGCAUAGUGAGAGUCUUUUUUUUUUGAGACGUGGAGAGUGAGAGUUGAUUCGAAGAGAACUAGUCGCAUGAAAAAGAAGAAAGCUCUACAACAUGUCGUGUAACUUUCUCUAUAAUAUAUCUCUUCCUUCGAGGUACCACCUUCACGACUCAACCGAUUUCAUGGUACUAUUUGCCAUCACUAGUUUAAUUAGCUAUCGCACCUGAGAUUUUGGAGGAAACCGAAUCCCAUUUCACCAUGCUUCAGUUUACAUAACUUUCGAUUCACGAUACAAGGAAAAGAAGGAAAUGGGUUUCUCAGUUGGUUGUCCACAACCGACCCU